GUGCCAGCAGCCGCGGUAAUACGUAGGUGGCAAGCGUUAUCCGGAAUUAUUGGGCGUAAAGCGCGCGUAGGCGGUUUUUUAAGUCUGAUGUGAAAGCCCACGGCUCAACCGUGGAGGGUCAUUGGAAACUGGAAAACUUGAGUGCAGAAGAGGAAAGUGGAAUUCCAUGUGUAGCGGUGAAAUGCGCAGAGAUAUGGAGGAACACCAGUGGCGAAGGCGACUUUCUGGUCUGUAACUGACGCUGAUGUGCGUAAGCGUGGGGAUCAAACAG
rnacentral:rRNA from 1 species